GUUGGUGAACCAGCGGAGGGAUCAUUACCGAGUUUACAACUCCCAAACCCCUGUGAACAUACCUAUAUCUCGCUUCGGCGGACCACCCGAGCCUCACGGCGAGGGCCCGCCAGAGGACCCCGAACCCAACUUUGUUUUUGCCUUAUUUGAACUUCUGAGUGGAUUUUAUAAAUCAAAUCAAAACUUUCAACAACGGAUCUCUUGGCUCUGGCAUCGAUGAAGAACGCAGCAUCUGACUGACUGAACUGUA
rnacentral:misc_RNA from 1 species